GCCCCGGCUGUGAGGUCUCUUUC
rnacentral:miRNA from 1 species